rnacentral:rRNA from 1 species
UACGGAGGAUGCGAGCGUUAUCCGGAUUUAUUGGGUUUAAAGGGUGCGCAGGCGGUCUGUUAAGUCAGCGGUAAAAUGUCCGGGCUCAACCCGGGCCGGCCGUUGAAACUGGGGAUCUUGAGUGGGCGAGAAGUAUGCGGAAUGCGUGGUGUAGCGGUGAAAUGCAUAGAUAUCACGAAGAACCCCGAUUGCGAAGGCAGCCUGCCGCAGCGUUACUGACGCUGAAGCUCGAAAGCGCGGGUAUCGAACAGG